GUCAUCCAGUCUAGGGGACACUUUGAGCUGACCUGAGCUGGCAUUACUAGUUAGUUCUCUGAUUCUUUAGUUAAGGCUUUUUCUUGCUGCUGGUGUUGGAAGAAAAGAUUUCUGUGAGAGUAUCAAAUACAUGACAAUUAGUGGAGAGUUCAGACAAAUUGCAGGGAUACAGAGCAGGCUGGAAGGCCUACACAGCUCUGAGGAAGUACAGUGCAUCAUUUCAUAAGGCCAGUGUUCAGCAUAAUUCUGGGAAAGCUGUGGUGGUAGGGACUUCUGAUCAUUAUGUGCUACAUAAUCUGUGUUGUAAAUUGCUUUCCAGUUCUGGAUGCUUCUUUCUCAAAUCAUGCUGAUGAAAAAUGUACACAUAGGCUUCUGAUGCUAUCAGCUGGAGUAUCACUAUGUGAAGCCCCAGAUGAACAUGGUGAAGGAGACAAUGUUGAAGAGGGGGAAGCUGUGUGUCUCAGCCAUAGUUAUAGAAUCGUAGAAUCAUAGAAUGGUUUGAGGUGGAAGAGACCUUAAAGAUCAUCUAGUUCCAAACCCCCUUCCAUGGGCAGGGACACCUUC